rnacentral:rRNA from 1 species
CCUACGGGAGGCAGCAGUGGGGAAUUUUGGACAAUGGGCGCAAGCCUGAUCCAGCAAUGCCGCGUGCAGGAUGAAGGCCUUCGGGUUGUAAACUGCUUUUGUACGGAGCGAAACGGUCUGCUUUAAUACAGUGGGCUAAUGACGGUACCGUAAGAAUAAGCACCGGCUAACUACGUGCCAGCAGCCGCGGUAAUACGUAGGGUGCGAGCGUUAAUCGGAAUUACUGGGCGUAAAGCGUGCGCAGGCGGUUAUAUAAGACAGAUGUGAAAUCCCCGGGCUCAACCUGGGACCUGCAUUUGUGACUGUAUAGCUAGAGUAUGGUAGAGGGGGGAUGGAAUUCCGCGUGUAGCAGUGAAAUGCGUAGAUAUGCGGAGGAACACCGAUGGCGAAGGCAAUCCCCUGGACCUGUACUGACGCUCAUGCACGAAAGCGUGGGGAGCAAACAGGAUUAGAUACCCUGGUAGUCCACGCCCUAAACGAUGUCAACUGGUUGUUGGGUCUUCACUGACUCAGUAACGAAGCUAACGCGUGAAGUUGACCGCCUGGGGAGUACGGCCGCGAAGGUUGAAACGUUAAAGGAAUUGACGG